CCUGGUUCUAACACAGCGUGCUCACGUUUUCCCCACUUCCCUCCGCCCUCUAAUUACAUCACAUCACAUCAUCUAACCUAAGGCAGAGGGCUCCGUGGAGGAGGUGAUACCUGAGACGACUCUUCAGAAUGCACAGGUAUUAGCAGGUGAACAGACGAGGAAGACAGAGCAGCGCAGGCAGAGAUGGAGUCUGGGGCAGUGAAGUGGGCCUUUGGGAUCUUCUGAGACUGGUGCUGGAACCUGGAAAAGAAGGAGCCGUUAAAGGGCUUGGAGUACGAGAAAGACAUCAGAUUCACAUUUUUGAAAGACGCCAGCUCAGCACAGCCUGGUCCAGAGAACCUAUUACAUCACCGUCUACCUCCACUUCGUAACUGGAUAAAGAAGACAGGAUCUUCUCUUUUUAUUUUUUUCUUUCUCAUGGACUCGAAUACAAAGUUACAGACUAAGAUAUAACAACAUUCUGUUAAAAUGUAGAUGCCAAGGGUAGCUAGCUGUUCCAGCCUGGCAUCUCAACUUUGCAGGUAGACUCCUUUAAAGGAAACCACUUCCUUGAACUAUAGACUAUCGGAGAUCCAGCUAAGUGUUGGCACUCCUGAUGAGAGUCAAGCAAACAGGAUCUCAUAUAAAGGGAAACUUCUGUGUAAUAUGCCGCGUGGUCAAGCUGCUCUGACCUCCUGUGGCUUCAAAGCUCGUCUGCUCUAUUGCACAACCCACAACCUCGAGAACAAUCGGCUCUUCCUGCCAGCAGCUUCUCUGCGUCCACCUGUCCCUACAGGUAGUAAAAGAGAAGAAGGAUCAGGAAUCGGUGUUUACACAACACUGCAGAGCGCUCUCUUCCUCCUGGCCCUGCCCCACCCCCAAGUGAGUUCGAAGUUCAUUUCUGCUAAAAUGGGGGAGAGGUGAUUCAAAGAGCGAAGGCACGGAGAAAGAGGGAAAGGUUCAGAAAGAGGGAAGGGUUCAGAAAGAGGGAAGGGUUCGUGCGGCCAGAGGCCUGCCCUGACCUCGCCGCAGCGCAGAGGAACCCUUCCUGCCCACUCGGGACUCGUGAGAGGGACUCGCCUGCAGGAGGCAGCCAGGCUGCUCACUGGGGAGGCUCAGACAUCAGAUCAGAGGAGGUUUAGAGUCAGAACCCGCCCGACCCCCACCCCAUCUCCAGGAAACAGCUGCACCCAAUCAGCAGACCACCUGCCCCAGGACUUCGGGGGCCAAGAAAGUAGGUUGCACUUCACGGAGUUUUGUUUUAAUCCUGCCGCCUGGCUGUCUUCCUGCUCACAAGACUGGCACGCGUGACCACGGUAGGGCAGGCGGAUCAUCUGUUUCAAAGCCGUUUCCAUGUCAAGUCACUGUAUAGUCCUGCGGGCAUAUUCUCACACUCUGGGGUGCCUGACAUGGCUGCUGGUUUCACUAACAUCUGCAUCUGCUGAGAUCCCCUUGACGAGUGACAGUGACACAACAGGGAAGUGGCAGGUGGCCUCUGGAGACUGGGCUCUCCUAAGAGCCUGGGGUCAUGGGCCAGGGGCACUUCCGGGGCUCACCGGCCACAUGCCCGAGACCUCCGGGGUGGACGUCUUCCGGAGCAGAGACUGAUCAAGCUGGAGGCCUCCAAGGGGCCGCGCCUGCUUGCCCCUCCCUCACCUGGGCCACACCAGCCUUCUUGAUCCUCACAGGCCAGGCUGUCCCCCACUCCAGAGCUCUUGAAUGUGCUGCUCUCUGCGCCUGGAACCCGCCCCCAGGUGCCUCGGUAGACACACUCCUUUCCCAUCCUCCAGCUCUCAACUCGGAAAUCACCUCCUCGGAGAACCACGUAAAGGGAAGGCUCCGUCUGAUCACAGCACAUUUCCCCCAAUCUCAGGGAGCCUGGGUUUUAAUAGGCUGUUUUUCUGGGCAUUUACUCAAGUUCCAUGGCGACAGAGGUCACUAUCCUCUGUGCUGACCAGUGCCUGGCACGCUUAAGAAAUCUUUGUUGACUGAAACAGCCUGCCUUGACCUCCUCAAGCUGCUCUAUUCUCUGAAUGUCCUGGAGAAGGUACCUCCAGCCAUAUUUCCACCUCAUCCUGACCUUGCCCACCCCCCAGGAAAACCACAGUAAAUGCGGGGAUGGCUUCUCACUGUGCAUGAAUGAAUGAAGUCACUCAGUCGUGUCGGACUCUUUGUGACCUCAUGGACUGUACAGGCGCCUUCAUCCAUGGAAUUUUCCAGGCAAGGAUACUGGAGUGGGUUGCCAUUUCCUCACUGGGCAUAACCAGGUACAAAAUGAGGCGUCCAUAACUAACACUCCAGACCACUGCUGAAGGAAUGCCUAAUGUUCUGUCGUGGUGGCAAAAUUAAUCUGUGUGCAAUUAAACAUUCCUCCCUUUGACAACAUUCCCAGGAGUACUCAGAACAGAGCAGGGCUCAGUAUUAAAUUCUCAACUCUUCAAGUUUAGGGGGUGCUGCCCCGAAUCUCUCUCUCCUCCUCUGGCUCUGUUGUGUUCCAUGAGUUCCCUGCUUAUGUUAGUGACACAGGCCCUGCAUUCCAGGUGAGUCAGUCACUUAAGCCCUGUGUGUCCAAGAUGCCGCCAAUUCACUUGCUUGCCACCCCUGCCCCCCACCC
ensembl:lncRNA